GGACCAGUAGCUCAAUCGGCAGAGCACCGUGGCGAGGGUAGUCGCUAGACGGUAGUCCGGGUUCGAGUCCCGGCUGGUUCACCA
rnacentral:tRNA from 3 species